ensembl:ncRNA ZK652.15 ncRNA
UCGAUUUAAUUGCAACUUGAAGAACGAUGAAGAGAGUAAAGAAGGCUGAGAGAGCUUCUUCGUCUUUUUGCUCCUUUUCUCGUCCAAUUUUUGUCUUUUUUGCUUGUCUCUCUUCGUUACUUUUCGCCUCUUAAUUCACUUU